rnacentral:rRNA from 1 species
UACGUAGGUGGCGAGCGUUAUCCGGAAUUACUGGGCGUAAAGCGUGCGCAGGCGGUUAUGUAAGACAGGUGUGAAAUCCCCGGGCUUAACCUGGGAACUGCAUUUGUGACUGCAUAGCUAGAGUACGGUAGAGGGGGAUGGAAUUCCGCGUGUAGCAGUGAAAUGCGUAGAUAUGCGGAGGAACACCGAUGGCGAAGGCAAUCCCCUGGACCUGUACUGACGCUCAUGCACGAAAGCGUGGGGAGCAAACAGG